UACGAGGGGUGCGAGCGUUGCUCGGAAUUAUUGGGCGUAAAGGGCAGGUAGGUGGUCUCAUUUGUCAGAGGUGAAAACCUUGGGCUUAACCCAAGAACUGCCUCUGAAACGGUGAGACUGGAGUACUGGAGAGGGUCGUGGAAUACCCGGUGUAGCGGUGAAAUGCGUAGAGAUCGGGUGGAACACCAGAGGCGAAGGCGGCGACCUGGACAGUAACUGACACUCAACUGCGAAAGCGUGGGGAGCAAACAGG
rnacentral:rRNA from 1 species